GCCGCCGCCUCUCCCCGGGGCUCGGGGCCGCGGUUCCUCUAGCCGCGGGAGCCGCCGCCGCGCUGCCCGAAACAAUGAGGCGUGCGGCACGGGGCUGAGCGUAGCCUCCCGCCGGCUUUGAGGCCGAGCCACCCGCUGUGCCCUGCCGCCCGCGCUUGCAGCCGUCGCCGGCGCGGAGCAGCGCUGGCCCCGGAGAGGUGAUUCGGCAGGCCGCCCGGGACGGGAGCGCGGGGCAGCUCCGAGACCCCACGGUGGCAGCUCCGAGACUCCACGGUGGCAGGAGGAGGACUCGAGCCUGCGGCAGGACGACUCCCGCCGCGCACUCGCCUUCUGCAGCCCCCAAGUUCCGCGGCGUGAGUCGGGAGACCCCGGCCAGGGUCCCAGCUCUAGCGGGCGUCAGUGUGAGUGUGGGAGCGCGUAGCGCGCGCACCCGAGCGGCUGCCGGGGAAUAAAAUGUGACACACACGCCUCGGACUCCAGUGCCGCGCUGCCAGGGGGAGCGCCGAGCACCACGGUGUCGUGCGCUUCGAGGCGCAGCGUGGGGAGAAGGCUGGUUCAUUCUGCCACCCAUCUGCUUUAAGACACAAGGUGCUGACCACAGAGACCUGCCAUGAAACCACACUUGAAGCAAUGGAGACAACGAAUGCUUUUCGGAAUAUUCGCUUGGGGGCUCCUCUUUUUGCUGAUUUUCAUCUACUUCACCGACAGCAACCCCGCUGAGCCUGUGCCCAGCUCCCUCUCCUUCCUGGAGACCAGGAGGCUCCUGCCGGUGCAGGGGAAGCAGCGGGCCAUCAUGGGCGCCGCGCAUGAGCCCUCCCUGCCUGGGGGCCUGGACGCACGCCAGGCGCUGCCCCGCGCCCACCUAGCCGGUUCCUUUCACGCGGGGCCUGGAGACCCGCAGAAAUGGACCCAGUCCCAAGAUGGGUUUGAACAUAAAGAGUUUUUUUCAUCCCAGGUGGGAAGAAAAUCUCAAAGUGCUUUCUACCCGGAGGAUGACGACUACUUUUUUGCUGCUGGUCAGCCAGGGUGGCACAGCCACACUCAGGGGACAUUGGGAUUCCCUUCCCCCAGGGAGCCAGGCCCGCGGGAGGGGGCUUUUCCGGCUGCACAGGUCCAGAGGAGUCGGGUGAAGAAGAGGCACCGGAGGCAGAGAAGGAGCCACGUGUUGGAGGAGGGCGACGAUGGCGACAGGGUGUACUCCUCCAUGUCCAGGGCCUUCCUGUACCGGCUCUGGAAGGGGAACGUCUCCUCCAAAAUGCUGAACCCGCGCCUGCAGAAGGCGAUGAAGGAUUACCUGACCGCCAAUAAGCACGGGGUGCGCUUCCGCGGGAAGCGGGAGGCCGGGCUGAGCAGGGCACAGCUGCUGUGCCAGCUGCGGAGCCGCGCGCGCGUGCGGACGCUGGACGGCACCGAGGCGCCCUUCUCUGCGCUGGGCUGGCGGCGCCUGGUGCCCGCCGUGCCCCUGAGCCAGCUGCACCCGCUCGGCCUGCGCAGCUGCGCUGUCGUCAUGUCUGCAGGCGCAAUUCUCAACUCUUCCUUGGGCGAGGAAAUAGAUUCUCAUGAUGCAGUUUUGAGAUUUAACUCUGCUCCUACACGUGGUUAUGAGAAAGAUGUUGGGAAUAAAACCACCGUACGCAUCAUUAAUUCGCAGAUUCUGACCAACCCCAGCCAUCACUUCAUUGACAGUUCACUGUAUAAAGACGUCAUUUUGGUGGCCUGGGACCCUGCCCCAUAUUCCGCAAAUCUUAACCUGUGGUACAAAAAACCGGAUUACAACCUGUUCACUCCAUAUAUUCAGCAUCGUCAGAGAAACCCAAAUCAGCCAUUUUACAUUCUUCAUCCUAAAUUUAUAUGGCAGCUCUGGGAUAUUAUCCAGGAGAACACUAAAGAGAAGAUUCAACCAAACCCACCAUCUUCUGGUUUCAUUGGAAUCCUCAUCAUGAUGUCCAUGUGCAGAGAGGUGCACGUGUAUGAAUAUAUCCCAUCCGUGCGGCAGACGGAGCUGUGCCACUACCACGAGCUGUACUACGACGCAGCCUGCACCCUCGGGGCGUACCACCCACUACUCUAUGAGAAGCUCCUGGUGCAGCGCCUGAACACGGGCACGCAGGGGGAUUUGCAUCGCAAGGGCAAGGUGGUUCUGCCCGGCUUCCAGGCAGUGCACUGCCCUGCACCGAGUCCAGUCAUUCCACACUCUUAAAAAGGGUUUCUUGGGAAUCAGUGUGCAAUAAGGUACUACUGUUGUACUCAAAGUCACAAAAGAAUACUUGAAGAUAGAUUUUAGACAAUGUAGUUUUGAAUCUUUAAACUGUAAUUUAGUGGUGGUCAUGAGAAUUCUUCUCUUUCUAAGCCAUUGAGUAUGUAUUACUGCUUUGAACAUAGAAACGGAUUUUUUAAAAAAUAAGGCUCAAGAAAGAUGCAAGACAAAGGAUAGCUAGAAAGAAAACACGUGUAUGACCAUGGGUAUGAUACGUCCAGAAAUGUUAGCAACUUAUUCUUCUGCCAUGAGUACCCCUCAUCAGGGUUGGUUUCAAUGACAGGUUUUGGUGAUGUUCCUGACCAUAUGAAGUGGUUUAUGUUUAGAAACAUUCAAAUUGAGGGACAUCAUUUACAGCAUCGAGUGUGUCAGUUAUACACGCAUUCAUCAUUAAGUAUCCUAGGUUUUAUGGCAGACAUUGAAAUUAUCACUCAGAUGUGUUUAACAGCAAAAAUUCCCAGCACAUCCUGGCAAAGGCUCGUGUUUCCAACCGUUGCAUUCUUCAUCUCUGCCUCCCAUUGCCCACUGAAUGCUUUGCUUUCUGUGCAUCAAGACAGAGUUCUAAAACCAGAAAACAUCCAUCUUGAAGGGUCCAAGAAAAAGCCAAAUUCCGUAUAGCACCAGAGAGGAGGCCCUUUGUUUACCUGCAGUAUUUCAACCAGGGGAAUUAGUAUCACAUCCACCAGGAGGCACAUCACUGGCAAGUAACUAGAAUCACAGGGCUGCAGGUGCCCCUGGACACUCCCCGGUUCUGGCUUUUCUGCCUUGUGCCUCCUCACCUGCAGAUCUACCCUGUAGCUUUUGCAUAGUCAGUGACACACUUGACAAUUGGCACAGCUGUGCUGGGGAAGACAGGAGACACCUUGCUCCUUCCAAACUAGAAGGAAAGAUUUCGGAGCCAUCAUCCUGUGCUUCUAGGGAUGCACGCCUGUCUUUAUUUUACAGGUUUCUUGCAGGUUUUUAUCAGCCAGUGGGAACUCCACAGUGAUGAGCACUGAAUCUUCACUAAAUCUUCCUACAGACAUUUAGGAAUCCAGUCCUUGCUUUCACAGAUAUGUUUUACGUCAGCAGCAUGACAAAGCCAUAUAAUUAAAUAAUUUAUGUGAAAGCAUUGCUUAUUAACAAGGAAAAUAUAUAGAUGCUUCAGAGGGAAAGGCAGCUAGAGGGAAAUUUUCAUCCCAAUAUGUUAGCUAUAUUCAGGGUUGAUUUUUUUUUAAUCUCAACUGUCACUGAUACAUUGAAAAAUUUUUGCUAUGAAUAUAGUGAAACAGAAACAUUUUGUAAUAUCUUAAUUAAACAUGCUAUUAUUUCAAUGUAUAACCAAAACAUAUCUCCAUGGUACAGUUAAGACUUGUUGCAAUGACAAUAGCAGCUUAAUUAAAUGUGUUCCUCCCUUGCAAGGUGUAUGAAUGUCAGGAGAGUUUAGUGGAAAAGUUUUCUUUGUUUCAGGAUUGGUUUCUUCUAGACUGUUCUCGGGACUACUUUCUUGAGCAAGAAUGGCUUACAGAGACUGAAGGCUUCUGUUUGGUUAGUCUAUUCAGUAGAUAUGGAGCUGGAUAACAAGACAUCUCCUAUAGCUUGUUAUAAUAGUGAAGGAGAAAUUGGAAAGUUUUAAUCACAAUAAUAUCCAAUAAAAGCCCAUUUUGAGAGUUUUGCUAUUAAGUCAAUGAGAAGGGAUAGGUAACUUUGCCCUAUAUAUUAACUUAUGUCUAAAUAGACAUGGUUAAGCCAUGUUCCUUUCUAAUUUCUUUUUUUUUUUUUUUUUUUUUUUUUUUUUGAGACAGAGUCUCACUCUGUCGCCCAGGCUGGAGUGCAGUGGCGCGAUCUCAGUUCACUGCCAGCUCCACCUCCCGGGUUCAUGCCAUUCUCCUGCCUCAGCCUCCGGAGUA